rfam:Lachnospiraceae bacterium COE1 genomic scaffold acPFN-supercont1.1, whole genome shotgun sequence.
GGCCUCAUGGCUCAGUUGGUUAGAGCGCCGCCCUGUCACGGCGGAGGUCGUCGGUUCGAGUCCGAUUGGGGUCG